rnacentral:lncRNA from 1 species
AUUAUUCACUCACACUCCAUUGGUGUCUGAUCACCGCGGGGACGCCUGCCUUGGUCAUUCACCCACAUUCCUUUGGUGGCAAGUCAAUUGCGGGGACACCUGCUUUGGCUGCUCACCUACUCCCUUCUCCAUGUCUCUACCUUUCUCUUUAAACUUACCUCCAUUACUAUGGGCAACCUUCCACCCUCCAUUCCCCCAUCUUCUCCCUUAGCCUGUGUUCUCAAAAACUUAAAACCUCUUCAACUCUCGCCUGACCUAAAACCUAAGCGUCUUAUUUUCUUCUGCAACACCGCUUGGCCCCAAUACAAACUCAAUAAUGGUUCUAAAUAGCUAGAAAAUGACACUUUUGAUUUCUCCAUUUUACAAGACCUGGAUGAUUUUUGUUGAAAAAUGGGCAAAUGGGUCUGAUGUGCCUGACAUCCAGGCAUUGUUUCAUACACUGGUCCCUCCUUAGUCUCUGCUCCCAAUGCGACUCAUCCCAAAUCUUUCUUCUUUCUCUGCGGUCUGUUCCUUCAGUCUCCACCCCAAGCUCUGAGUCCUUUGAAUGCUCCUUUUCUACAGACCCAUCUAACCUCUCCCCUCCUACCCAGGCUGCUCCUCACCAGGCUGAGCCAGGUCCCAAUUCUUCCUCAGCCUCCGCUCCCCGAUCCUAUAAUCCUUUUAUCACCUCCCCUCCUCACACCCGGUCCAGUUUACAGUUACAUUCCUCCACUAGCCCUCCCCCACCUGCCCAACAAUUUCCUCUUAAAGAGGUGGCUGGAGCUGAAGGCAUAGCCAAGAUCUUCUUGACUUAGCAGCUGAAGACUGAUGCUGCCCGAUUGCCUUGGAAGCCCCCCUAGACCAUCACAGAUGCCGAGCUUCGGGAACUCUCACAGUGGAGGUCCUCAGGGUUUACUGCAGUGCCUGACCCACAGUAGCCUCUUAACAAAUAUUUGCCGGCAGGAAUGAAUUCAGGUAUUUGCAAAAGAGGAUAUUUCUGGGAUUCUAAAAAUUUAGGCACCAUCAAUAUUUGCUGUUGUUCAGAAGUAUUCCAUUCAGAUUGGCCACAUAUACAUGUAUAAAAU